AUUGAACGCUGGCGGCAUGCCUUACACAUGCAAGUCGAACGGUAACAGGUCUUCGGAUGCUGACGAGUGGCGAACGGGUGAGUAAUACAUCGGAACGUGCCUAGUAGUGGGGGAUAACUACUCGAAAGAGUGGCUAAUACCGCAUGAGAUCUACGGAUGAAAGCAGGGGAUCGCAAGAACUUGUGCUACUAGAGCGGCCGAUGGCAGAUUAGGUAGUUGGUGGAAUAAAAGCUUACCAAGCCGACGAUCUGUAGCUGGUCUGAGAGGACGAUCAGCCACACUGGGACUGAGACACGGCCCAGACUCCUACGGGAGGCAGCAGUGGGGAAUUUUGGACAAUGGGCGCAAGCCUGAUCCAGCAAUGCCGCGUGCAGGAUGAAGGCCUUCGGGUUGUAAACUGCUUUUGUACGGAACGAAAAGCCCUGGGUUAAUACCCUGGGGUCAUGACGGUACCGUAAGAAUAAGCACCGGCUAACUACGUGCCAGCCGCCGCCGUAAGAC
rnacentral:rRNA from 1 species